rnacentral:rRNA from 1 species
UACGAAGGGGGCUAGCGUUGUUCGGAAUUACUGGGCGUAAAGCGCACGCAGGCGGCUCGUUGAAUUAGAAGUGAAAGCCCUGGGCUCAACCCGGGAAUUGCUUUUAAGACUGGCGAGCUAGAGUCCGGAAGAGGGUAGUGGAAUUCCCAGUGUAGAGGUGAAAUUCGUAGAUAUUGGGAAGAACACCGGUGGCGAAGGCGGCUACCUGGUCCGGUACUGACGCUCAGGUGCGAAAGCGUGGGGAGCAAACAGGAUUAGAUACCCUGGUAGUCCACGCUGUAAACGAUGAGUGCUAGUUGUUGGGGUGCUUGCACCUCAGUGACGCAGCUAACGCAUUAAGCACUCCGCCUGGGGAGUACGGUCGCAAGAUUAAA